AUGUAGGCGAAAAGGAGUGGUGCAGUAUUCUAGUCAGUCCUGCGUUUCUGAAGGUGGGCCUAAAAAUCCACCGAAGGGCACAUCGAUGAAGUUCCUGGUGUUGGCUUGGGGAGCCCAGACCUGGGCUGAUGCUGGGAGUUAAGGAUGGAGGGCGAUCCACAAAGGCAUGUGGGCGUUGACCCUCCUUCCGCGGAGACCCAAGACGCGUGGGCAACCACGGCUUGGGAGUGAACCUGUACGUUGGCGAAAGCUGCGUACAGCGUAGCCUGCCUUGAGUGAAGCAGCGGGGAUUACAGGCUAACCCACUUUAUGCUCACUGGCCAUGGGCAUAAUCCGGGUUCUGUAUGAAACCUGCUUUGCAAAAGAGGCUAAGGAAACGUCAAGGACUGUCGAGGAAAGCUCCUAGACUGUCCGCUUGGCGGGGCUUUUUGGAGAUUAAAGUGUGGACUAAGUGGUAAUCCAGUCCGACGAAUGGCGACACGUCGAGGCCGGCUGAAAGGGAAACCGCCCGGAUGGCGACGUCUGGGUGCUGGCUUGGGAAAACCUACUGGACCUUAAGCCACAGCAUUUAUCCAAAAAGCUACCACUCCGGUACAUACCCGU
rnacentral:sRNA from 1 species